GUACACUCUGGCCUCAUCAGGCGUCAAGCACACAUGUGGUACACAGACAUAAUUCAGAGUCCAUUUGUUAGUGUGCAAGAAAAUACUCUGAGAAACUAGCUCAGUAUAUGUGUGCUGAAGUUCGCAUCACACAUAGGUGACCCCGUGAGUCCCAUGGUUUGUGCCGUCAUUACUGCUGAGGGUGAGGCAGACAGGGUGACAUCAUUACUGCUGAGGGUGAGGCAGACAGGGUGACAUCAUUACUGCUUCCUUACAGUAGACUCUGCAGUGCUGUGAAUGCAGGUGGUCUUCACACACUCAGAGGCAAGGGGGCAGCUCAUGGAAGGACAGAGUCGGUGGGUACUGACAAGCUUUACAGCUUGUCCCCAAGUUGAGGUGUCCGUAAAGUGAGUUACCAGCUUUCCUGUGGUGUUGAGAGCUGUAGCACGGGGCCAGGCGUGUGGAAACUUUCUCACUUGUUUUAUGGUUUUCCACCACUAAUUUUGAUGACACUAUUUAGAGAAAAUUGACUAUAAUUUUGCCACUCUCUGGUUACAGGUAGCUUUUGGGGGGAAGGUGGGAGCAGAGUCUUCCUAUAUAGUCCUGGCUGACCUAGAACUCUUUAUGAAGACCAGGCUGGCCUCAACUCAUAGAAAUCAACUUGCCUCAGCCUCCCAAGUGCUGGGAUUAAAGGCCUGGCCAAUGUAGGCUUAAUUUAUUAGUGAAAGUUAAUUCAUUUCUGAUAUAUGGAUUUUAAUAAAAAAGUGAAUUUAUAGAUACUAAUUCAAUUCCUCUAAAUUUACUCUAUAUGGACUUAAAUGAAUUUUCUCAUAUUUUCACAAUUAAAACAUUUAAAUUUAAUGCCAGAUGUAAAAAAUUUCAUGUUUCCAGUUUUAUCACCCAUUGCUGUUGUAGCCACUAGAUCUGGUUUUCAUUUUGCUGUUAGUCUAAACAGUAAUAGCCUUCACUUAAUUUUCUGUGGCUUUAAUUUUACACAAUUGGUUAAAAAAUAGUAAUCACCCAAAACAUCCUCCCAAUUCAGCAGCGCGGUUCUUCCAAACAUGCUUCUGAGUUCCUUCAAACCACAUGAUUGUGUCACAAGGGUAAACCUCCCCACCCAUGGGGAAAAACUAAUAACCCAAAGGUUCAAAGCCUCCAUCUGUCAUCUGUUCCUAUGAGCUCUCAGGCCUGGACAAGGGAAGUGGCCUGUACCCUGCACAUUCUGCUAGCAUUUGCAGCAAGGCUCUGCCAAGAAGCAAGAUUCAGAAUAACGGAAACAUGUGUGUGGUUGUCAUCACUGACUCUUACCCAGUCAAGGUCACUGCUCAGAGGAUACCGACCACUGCUCGCUAAGCUUUGGCAUGGGAGACUCUGUUUUUUAUCUCUUGUUCUGACCACCUACGCUUCUAAGAGCAAAUGGAGAACACUGCUUUAAAAACACUUAUUUCGGGGCUGGGGAUUUAGCUCAGUGGUAGAGCGCUUACCUAGGAAGCGCAAGGCCCUGGGUUCGGUCCCCAGCUCCGAAAAAAAGAACCAAAAAAAAAAAAAAAAAAAACACUUAUUGCAUUCAGUAAACAAAAGAUAGAGAGGUGGCACUUGUAAUCGUUAUAAUUAACAUUUUGUCCCUGGCUGUGAUCAUAGGACUCUGGCAGGUGCCCUCACCGGCCUGCCAGCCAUGAGCCCAUUCACUUUAUCUGUGGCCCAUCCACAGGCAGCGAUACCAGCUGAAGCUUCUGCCCUGAACCUGUCUGAGUUACCAUUGGUGGCUUUGUAGUUACUGUUUUCUCCCUCACAGAGCAACCGUGAGCAUCAUGUUUACAUCACAUCUGUGCAGCAUAGUGGCCUGGACACAGAUGAGCAGGCUUCUUCGUUUCUCAGUUUCAUAAGCACUUAUUUAAUCCGUUUUUUUUAAAUUGUGCAGCAAGGUGCUCAAAGUAAUAGUAUAUAAAUAUAUUUAAUAGAAACUUGAGUUUGACAUUCAUGGGCAUAAAUAAAUGUAUUUUUUUUUUUAAAGAAAUAAGUAUUGUGUAACACUAUGGCUUUGCUUCUGUAGCCCAAGUAGAGAAACUUCUGGAACACCAUGUAAAAAAGCAAGAGUUGAUUCUGACGCUGAUUCUUUAAAACUGGAUGAUUGGUAUUUGGUGAUAUCCUGUUGCACAUCAAGCUGCAAGCCUUGUCUGUGGUAGAGCAGGCCACCUGUUUAGAAGAGAGCAGCUCUCUCUCUGGCACCUCUUAAUUUCCAGAACUGUCCAAAAGUAGAGUAAUUUAUUUUGCUUUACAGGAGUUUGUCAUGUAUUGACUUAUAUAUUGUAUUUUGGUAAUAAAUUUCUUUUGUUAAAAACA
rnacentral:lncRNA from 1 species